GGACCUUUAGCUCAGUUGGUUAGAGCAACCGGCUCAUAACCGGUCGGUCCUGGGUUCGAGUCCCCGAAGGUCCAUCA
rnacentral:tRNA from 1 species